rnacentral:rRNA from 1 species
ACGAUGAAGAGUUUGAUCCUGGCUCAGGAUGAACGCUAGCGGCAGGCUUAACACAUGCAAGUCGAGGGGUAUAGUUCUUCGGAAUUAG